rnacentral:rRNA from 1 species
GUUGAACGCUGGCGGCAGGCCUAACACAUGCAAGUCGAGCGGAUAAAGGGAGCUUGUUCCUGGAUUCCGCGGCGGGCGGGUGUGUAAUGCCCAUGAGUCUGCCUGCUUUUGGGGUAUAACAUCCGGAAACGGCCGCUAAUACCACAUGCGUCCUGAUGGUGCAACUGGGUGGUCUUUGGAACUCUCCCUCUCAGGUGGGCCUAGGUCGGACUAGCUAGUUUGUUGGGUAAGGGCCUACCAAGGCGACGAUCCGUAACUAGUCUGAGAGGAUGAUCAGUCACACUGGAACUGAGACACGGUCCUGACGCCUACGGGAGGCAGCAGUGGGGAAUGUUAGGCAAUGGGCGAAAGCCUGACCCAGCGGUGCCGAGCGUGUGAAGAAGGUCUUCGGAUCGUAAAGCACUCUAAGGGGGGAGGAAGGGCUGUCAGUUGAGACCUAGCGGGAUUGACGUUACCAACAGAAGAAGCACCGGCUAACUACGUG